rnacentral:rRNA from 1 species
GCAGUCGUACGAGAGUUUUUACUCAAGUGGCGGACGGGUGAGUAACACGUAAGAAUUUGCCUUUAGGAGAGGGAUAACAGCUGGAAACGGCUGCUAAUACCUCAUAUGCUUUCGAGUGAAAUGGAUUUCCGCCUAAAGAGAAGCUUGCGGCUGAUUAGCUUGUUGGUGAGGUAAUGGCUCACCAAGGCGACGAUCAGUAUCUGGUUUGAGAGGACGAUCAGACACACUGGAACUGAGACACGGUCCAGACUCCUACGGGAGGCAGCAGUGGGGAAUUUUCCGCAAUGGGCGAAAGCCUGACGGAGCAAUACCGCGUGAAGGAUGACGGCCUAUGGGUUGUAAACUUCUUUUUUCAGGGAGGAAUCAAUGACGUGUACCUGAAGAAUAAGCAUCGGCUAACUCCGUGCCAGCAGCCGCGGUAAGACGGAGGAUGCAAGUGUUAUCCGGAAUCACUGGGCGUAAAGCGUCUGUAGGUGGUUUAAUAAGUCAACUGUUAAAUCUUGAGGCUCAACCUCAAAAUCGCAGUCGAAACUAUUAGACUAGAGUAUAGUAGGGGUAAAGGGAAUUUCCAGUGGAGCGGUGAAAUGCGUAGAGAUUGGAAAGAACACCGAUGGCGAAGGCACUUUACUGGGCUAUUACUAACACUCAGAGACGAAAGCUAGGGUAGCAAAUGGGAUUAGAUACCCUGGUAGUCCCCU